rnacentral:rRNA from 1 species
AUGCGGGACUCAUCAGAGGCCUCGCAAUUGGAAUGAGCGCACUUUAAAUCGUUCGACGAGGAUCUAUUGGAGGGCAAGUCUGGUGCCAGCAGCCGCGGUAAUUCCAGCUCCAAUAGCGUAUAUUAAAGUUGUUGCAGUUAAAAAGCUCGUAGUUGGAUCUGGGGUUCGGGUCGGCGGUUUGCCGCUUCGGCGGCUACUGCCGUGCUCGACUCUUACUAGCCGGUGCGUCUUGCGGUGCUCUUCAUCGAGUGCCGUAGGAGCCUGGCAUGUUUACUUUGAAAAAAUUAGAGUGCUCAAAGCAGGCGAUUCCGCCUGAAUAGUGUUGCAUGGAAUAAUGGAAUAGGACCUCGGUUCUAUUUUGUUGGUUUUCGGAACUUGAGGUAAUGAUUAAGAGGGACGGUCGGGGGCAUUCGUAUUUCGGUGUUAGAGGUGAAAUUCUUGGAUCGCUGAAAGACGGACAAAUGCGAAAGCAUCUGCCAAGAACGUCUCCAUUAAUCAAGAACGAAAGUCAGAGGUUCGAAGACGAUCAGACACCGUCCUAGUUCUGACCAUAAACGAUGCCAACUAGCGAUCCGCAGUGGUUGCUAUAAACGGACUCUGCGAGCAGCUUCCGGGAAACCAAAGUGUUUGGGUUCCGGGGGAAGUAUGGUUGCAAAGCUGAAACUUAAAGGAAUUGACGGAAGGGCACCACCAGGAGUGGAGCCUGCGGCUUAAUUUGACACAACACGGGGAAACUCACCCGGUCCGGACACUGUAAGGAUUGACAGAUCGAGAGCUCUUUCUUGAUUCGGUGGAUGGUGGUGCAUGGCCGUUCUUAGUUGGUGGAGUGAUUUGUCUGGUUAAUUCCGAUAACGAACGAGACUCUAGCCUGCUAACUAGUUGCGCCGUGUUCAUACGCGGCUGUAGACUUCUUAGAGGGACAGGUGGCGUUUAGCCACACGAAAUUGAGCAAUAACAGGUCUGUGAUGCCCUUAGAUGUCCGGGGCCGCACGCGCGCUACACUGAAGGAGUCAGCGUGUGCUAUCCGGGCUCGGAAGAGUUCGGUAACCCGUUGAAACUCCUUCGUGCUUGGGAUUGUGGCUUGUAAUUAUCGCGCAUGAACGAGGAAUUCCCAGUAAGUGCAAGUCAUCAGCUUGCGCUGACUACGUCCCCGCCCUUUGUACACACCGCCCGUCGCUACUACCGAUUGAAUGGUUUAGCAAGGUACUCGGAUUGGUCUCGAUCU